rnacentral:rRNA from 1 species
GACGAACGCUGGCGGCGUGCUUAACACAUGCAAGUCGAACGGGAACCUUUAUUUCGGUAAAGGUGAGAGUGGCAAACGGGUGAGUAACACGUAGGCAACCUGCCGACAGGAUGGGGACAACAUUCCGAAAGGAAUGCUAAUACCGAAUGGAGUCCGAGGAUGGCAUCAUCCCCGGAUCAAAGAUGGCCUCUUAACAAUGCUAUCGCCUGUCGAUGGGCCUGCGUCUGAUUAGCCAGUUGGCGGGGUAACGGCCCACCAAAGCGACGAUCAGUAGCCGGUCUGAGAGGAUGAACGGCCACAUUGGGACUGAGACACGGCCCAGACUCCUACGGGAGGCAGCAGUGGGGAAUCUUCCACAAUGGGCGAAAGCCUGAUGGAGCAACGCCGCGUGAGUGAAGAAGGUCUUCGGAUCGUAAAGCUCUGUUGCACGGGACGAAAACCGGGUUUGAGAA